GACGAACGCUGGCGGCGUGCUUAACACAUGCAAGUCGAACGGAAAGGCCCUGCUUUUGUGGGGUGCUCGAGUGGCGAACGGGUGAGUAACACGUUAGUAACCUGCCCUUGACUUUGGGAUAACUUCAGGAAACUGGGGCUAAUACCGGAUAGGAUCUCCUGCUGCAUGGUGGGGGUUGGAAAGUUUCGGCGGUUGGGGAUGGACUCGCGGCUUAUCAGCUUGUUGGUGGGUUAGUGGCUUACCAAGGCUUUGACGGGUAGCCGGCCUGAGAGGGUGACCGGCCACAUUGGGACUGAGAUACGGCCCAGACUCCUACGGGAGGCAGCAGUGGGGAAUAUUGCACAAUGGGCGGAAGCCUGAUGCAGCAACGCCGCGUGCGGGAUGACGGCCUUCGGGUUGUAAACCGCUUUCGCCUGUGACGAAGAGUGAGUGACGGUAAUGGGUAAAGAAGCACCGGCUAACUACGUG
rnacentral:rRNA from 1 species